UGAUGUGUAGGAGUUCAAUAAAACUCAAAACAAGUACAAGCAAAGCCCGGAUGAUCUCAGCAGAGAACUGCUCUCCUAAACUCACUGAGAAAAUAGAACUCUCAGAUUGGAAUUCUCCAAAUAUUCAAACCUGCACGGAUCCUCUCUUUUUGUGUCCUACUGAGAGGUGAAGCUAGCUGGACUUCCUGGGUCGAGUGGGGACUUGGAGAACUUUUCUGUCUAGCUAGAGCACUGUAAAUGCACCAAUCAGCACUCUGUAAAAACGCACCAAUCUGCACUAUGUGUCUAGCUAAAGGAUUGUAAAUGCACCAACCAGCGCUCUGUAAAACCGCACCAAUCUGCACUCUGUGUCUAGCUAAAGGAUUGUAAAUGCACCAAUCAGCACUCUGUAAAAUCGCACCAAUCAGCUCUCUGUGUCUAGUGAGAGGAUUGUAAAUGCACCAAUCAGCGCUCUGUGUCUAGCUAAAGGACUGUAAAUGCACCAAUCAGCACUCUGUAAAAUGGACCAAUCAGCAUUCGGUAAAAUGGACCAAUCAGCAGGAUGUGGGCAGGGCCAAAUAGGGGAAUAAAAGCUGGCCACCUGAGCCAGCAGCAGCAACCCGCUCGGGUCCCCUUCCAAGGUGUGGAAGCCUUGUUCUUUCACUCUUCACAAUAAAUCUUGCUGCUGCUCACUCUAUGGGUUUGCACCCUCUUUAAGAGCUGUAACACUCACUGUGAAGGUCUGUGGCUUCACUCCUGAAGUCAUUGAGACCACGAACCCACCAGGAGGAACAAACAACUCCGGACGUGACACCCUUAAGAGCUGUAACACUCACUGCGAAGGUCUGCGGCUUCACUCCUGAAGUCAGCGAGACCAUGAACCCACUGGAAGGAAGAAACUCCGGACACAUCUGAACAUCUGAAGGAACAAACUCCGGACACACCAUCUUUAAGAACUGUAACACUCACCGCGAGUGUCCGCGGCUUCAUUCCUGAAGUCAGCAAGACCAAGAACCCACCGGAAGGAACCAAUUCUGGACACACUACUGUAAGAAUUGAGUUUUCCCUUUUCACUGAAUGUUAUCUGUCAAUGUUUAAUUUUGCUAAAGUCUCUCUAAUUAAAAUAAUUGUUUUCCUUAAGCCC
rnacentral:lncRNA from 1 species